rnacentral:rRNA from 1 species
GCAAGUCGAACGAGAAUCUGGUGCUUGCACCAGAGGACAGUGGCGGACGGGUGAGUAAUAUGUAGGAAAUCUGCCUUUAGGAGGGGGACAACAGAGGGAAACUUCUGCUAAUACCCCAUAUGAGCUAAGUUGAGAUACUUAUCUUGAAAACUCCGGUGCCUAAAGAUGAGCCUGCACCUGAUUAGCUAGUUGGUGGUGUAAUGGACUACCAAGGCGACGAUCAGUAGCUGGUUUGAGAGGAUGAUC